AUUUGCUAUACUGUAGCUCUCACUAGAGGCUACACCUGUUUGAGCCUUUAUGUAAAAUUUUAUUAUUUUUUCCCUUACAUAAAGUAAAAACACAUAUUACAAGGGGAAGGAAUAGUUUAUAUUUGUAGUCAAACAAAUUGCAAAUUUUAAUUAAGAGGAAACAGUCAAACUGGGCAAUUGAAUGGGUAUUUGGAUGAAACAGGUCAGGGAGGGAGGCAUGGGAGAUGCGUGGAGAUGUUGUAUUGACUUUUUAAAAUUUAUUUUCUCUGCAGAGUUUAUCAGAUGGACCUGCCUUAUGAGCUGACAUCACUAAGGACCAGAAUAAAAGUUGCCCUUAGGGCCCGUGGAAACAAGUCAUGAACAAAGCUGGUUUCACGAGUGCCUUGUACUAAGUGGUCUUGGACGGUUUCUGCUGUCUUCCCAUUGUGGUAGCCUUGAGGAAUGCCUUACUUCCUACCUUGAACAAACUCAGGUUGAUCAAAAAUUCCUUUAGGAGGGAGACGCUGCUCUGGUAGAAAGAAUUUGCUUCCUGCAGGCAAGCUGAGUAAAGAUGAGAGUUCUGGAAAAGCAUCUUCCGUGACUGAAUGCUGCAAGGGGCCCAGCUCUCAGUCCCUGUUCUGUGAGAUUGCCAGGCCAAGACACAGAUGCCAUGUUCAUGAAAUUGCGGAGCCCUGUCAUGUGGCCCAGGGCUUUCUGCUGCUACCUCACCAUCAAUUUGAUUUGAAGAAGAGAGAAGGAACCAAAGACUCCAUCUGCAUUAGAUGCAGCAGGGAUCGAGGCGCUACCGCGGCCGGCCAGAGCAUGCACGCCCAGGAGCGGCAGCAAACGCAGCUCGGCUGCAGGCGGACGUGGCUACGUCCCAGGGAACCUGCAGGGCUGUUCUCUGCCCUUGGCUGCAGGUAAUUGCUUUGCCUCAUGCAAUUAUAUGGGGUAAUUAAAAGUAGAUUGCACAAAGCAGAGCAAAACUAUCAGUACAACCUCCCCAUUUGAGGUCUGUUCCUUUAAGAGUGAUUAUGUGUUUUUAUUUUUUAUUAUUAUUUUUUGUUAACCCAACCUGCCUCUGUGUUUUCUACCCAGCUAAUCUGUAAUCAGUAUGGUAUAGGAAGGGAAAAUAAAAGUAUACUUUUAAACA
rnacentral:lncRNA from 1 species